GAAUUACCUCAACAGUGUUGUCUUUAUCCAGAGGUGAUUUUAAAAGAAUAUACUGUAUUUGAAUGUCAACGUUCAAAGGCUUUGAGGCAGAAAAUUCCAUUUCAAAAGAAAGUGUGAUUAAUGAAGCCACAUAAAUCCUGUAGAGGCUGGAGCAAUUUCAGAAAUCACACCAUGCAAAUCAAAGAAGCAGGUUUUUCUACAUCCUCUCUCACUUUCUCUUGUUCUUAUUUCUGCACCAUCUCAACCUUUCCUUCCCUCUUUCUCUUUUGCAGUUUCUUGAAUGCACGUCCCCCCAAUCUCCAAAACAUAAGGGAACUUGAUCAGAAAUCCUAGAUACAGCUAGCUUCAGGCUCCGACCUGAGCCAUUUCUCCUCAUUCUUCCCCCAGGAGAUUCAAAGAGAGUUGAGGCUGUAGCAUUCAACUCACACACCUCACUACUUGCUUAUAAAAUGGAUUCAAAUUCUGGAACUCCACUUGGUCCAGUCUUAACAAGAUGUUUUCCUUAAAGAAAAAGCUAGGCCAGGCACGGUGGCUCAUACCUGUAAUCCCAGCACUUUGGGAGGCUGAAGUGGGAGGAUUACUUGAGCCCAGGAAUUUGAGGCCAACUUGGGCAACAUGGUGAAACCCCAUCUCUACAAAAAAUAUAAAAAUUAGCGAGGUACGGUGGCAUAUGCCUGUAGUCCCAGCUACUCAGGAAGCUGAGGUGGGAGGAUCACCUGAGCCUGGGGAGGUCGAGGCUGCAGUGAGCCGUGAUCACACCGCUGUAUUCUGGCCUGAGUGACAGAGUGAGAUCCUGCCAAAAAAAAAAAAAAAAAAAAAAAAAAACAACUGAAUUAAAGAAUAAUGUAGAUCUGUACCUUUUCUAGAAGAAGUGGCAGGGGAAUUUUAGAGACUGCCCCACAAAGAAAGUUACCCAAAAAUCCCCUUUAGGCAUUUCUUUGUCUAUUUCAAAUUUCCUGCUUAUACCAGCUGCUAAGUGUGCCACCGACUCUCCUCUGGGUUCUCCAACCAGUCACUCUUCUAUUAGCCUUCUCCACUCCUGCAUCCUGUUCACAUUCCCCGUCCCAUCCAUAAACAUAAGCUCUCUAUUCCUUGUGCUAGGAGUCCC
rnacentral:lncRNA from 10 species